rnacentral:lncRNA from 1 species
CUAUUGGUGUUCCGUACGCUGGUUGGUGGAUGGGAGCUGGCUGUUGGGACUAUUCCUGAUCUUUUGAAAAGGCUGCAAAAUAUUCCCCCUCCCUUUUUUUUUCAGUAAGCUUAUGAGCACCUUCUAUCUGCAAAGUAACAUAUCACCUACUACCUCCGUCUCAAAAUAAGAAAACACUUAAUUUUGGAACGGAGGAAGUAUACUCCAAAAUAGGUAUGAGGUUAUAGAAAAUGCACCAUUAAACCUUUUAUUAGAAAAUGUACGCGAACGUUUGGGCCAGCCAGUUUAAUUAUCGAAUGAUGGUACAUAGAGCAAUGUGGCCAGGACAUGUGUUGUAUUUUCAAGGCAAACCCUGGAAAAAAGGGGAUCUAGUUCACGGAUAUUUUCUCAGCUCAUUUUCUACCUAAUUAGCUCAUGCCUGUAACUACAAAAGAGAACGGGACAUUUAUUACUUAUUUAUUUUUGCAGCACGGUCGCUUUCUGGACUUUGGACCAUGAGUGCAGUGUUCAAGCUCCAUGGAGCCCUUUUUCAAAACAUUCACUGCAAAAUAUAUUCAUUGACACUUUUUACUAGAC